UUGUUUAAUAUCUUUUAAUAAUAUAAAAUUAAACAAAAAGAGCUAAGAUACAAAAAAUAUUAUAAAAUAUUUAUUAUUCAUAAACAUUAAUUAUCAUAUAUACGUUAAUCAUAUAAGGCAAUUCCGUAGCUUUUAUUUAAGUAAAGUGCAAGAUUAUUCUUUUGUACACUAUUCAUCAAUUUAAUAGUUAGUUUAAUAAAAUGACAUUUUGCAAAUAUGACUCAAAACUUGAAGUCAAACACAAAACUAACCAAUUUUUUUUGAAACUUUGACUUGUCUCUUUCAAUCCCAAAGUUCAGAUUAUUCACGGAAAUGCCAUCACUUUUUUUUUAUUCUGAAAAUGCAUAUUUUACUCUAUCACCCUCAUCUUCCUCAAGAAUUCACAAUAUUGCCAUUGCC
rnacentral:lncRNA from 1 species